CACUCAGCGUUCUUCAGAUGGAGGUCGCCUCUAUGUGCAGGAAAGAAAGCGACGUCCUCUGCAGAUAGAGUUCGAUCUUAUCCACGCCGGACGCCGCCCCACACCAUCCCCCCCCCCCCCCCCCCCCCCCCCCCCCAAAAAAAAAGAUCCAUCUCUUUGUGCAUUCCGCUUCCACCUUGUUUUCACAUAGAGGCGACCUCCAGAUGUUGUUGAGACUUUGACCACAACAAUUGAAUAAACAUGUGCUUAUCAUGAACUAUUACAUGUGGUACAAUUUCCUUUUGUGCUUUUCUAAUUACUAGCGGGAAUGUUUAGCCUCUACAAAAACAAUAGGAAUGAGUUUCUGUACACCCGUGGCUAUGUUUGAAUUGUUAAUAGUGAGACUGAGAGAGUGGUAUGGUUAGGAUGUUAGAUUUGUGCUUCCAGUGACUGAUUAGUAUCUUUUUUUGGUAGCUGGUAUGUGUUAGUUUUACCAUAAGCUUAAAGUUUAGGUAGAAUGAAGUGGAUGUGUUGUGCCAAAUUAAAUGAAUUUUCAAAUGCUCCUACCCGGGCUCUGCUUUGUGUUUUUUGAACUCCUUUGUGAUGUUGAACAAUUGUGCUUAUUAGUUGGUAAUUUACUGAUAUUGCAUUGUCAGUCCAUUAUAUUGUUGUUUAAUAGAAUAUUUGUGCGUGUUUAUUGAAUAUUGAGUUAUUGACAGAUAUGUUUUCCAUACCAAAACAAUGUUCUUAAACAUGCAUUUUAGGAUGAGUUAUUGGAAAAUGUUCGGAUUCCUUUGCAAGAUCAAAGUUUCUAUGCACUUAAUCAGCUUGUGAUUUCAUCAUCUUGGUAAUUUUACAAAAAAUAAAACUCUGGUAUAAUUGAUCAUGCACUUUGCAGUAGGUUGCAGUUUACUUUAGUUUUUUACACUCACAUUCUCAGUUCUUUGGUCCUUAGGUCGACAAGUUUGUACGACAAAGGCGACCCGGAGUCACCGUCCCUCGAAAGCGC
rnacentral:lncRNA from 1 species